rnacentral:rRNA from 1 species
GCUGGUUCUCCCCGAAAUAGCUUUAGGGCUAGCGCUAUAUGUUCAGUACCGGAGGUAGAGCACUGAAUGGGCUAGGGGGCUUAAUGCUUACCAAACCCAAUCAAACUCCGAAUGCCGGUACUCCAGAAUAUAGCAGUCGGACUACGGGAGAUGAGUUUCGUAGUCGAAAGGGAAACAGCCCAGACCAACAGCUAAGGUCCCCAAAUUUAUGCUAAGUGGGAAACGAUGUGGGGUUACUUAAACAACCAGUAGGUUGGCUUAGAAGCAGCCACCCUUUAAAGAGUGCGUAAUAGCUCACUGGUCAAGUGAUCCUGCGCGGAAAAUUUAACGGGGCUAAGCAUAAUACCGAAGCUUUGGGUCUCAGCAAUAGCUGGGGCGGUAGGGGAGCGUUCUGUUUGCAGUGAAGGUCGACCGUAAGGACGGCUGGAGCGGACAGAAGUGAGAAUGCAGGCAUGAGUAGCGUAAAACACGUGAGAACCGUGUUCGCCGUAUGUCUAAGGUUUCCGACGCCAGGUCAUUCCGCGUCGGGUUAGUCGGGUCCUUAGCCGAGGCCGAAAGGCGUAGGUGAUGGACAUCGGGUCAACAUUCCCGAACCACUUAAGAGGAGUGAAGGGGGGACGCAGCGAGGUAGGCCAGCCCACGAUUGGUUGUGUGGGUGCACCAAAUGUCAGACGUUGAGAGCUGUAGGCAAAUCCGCAGCUUGAGUUGAGAUCUGGUGGCGUGCCCUUGAGGUAGAAGUGAGUUGAGCCUUGCUGCCAAGAAAAGCCCCUAAACGUUGAAUCUUGAGUGCCCGUACCGCAAACCGACACUGGUAGACGAGUAGAGUAUACUAAGGCGAACGGGAGAACCCUCGUUAAGGAAUUAGGCAACAUAGCCCCGUAACUUCGGGAGAAGGGGUGCCUUUCGACGUGAAAGUUUAUCUUGAGCGUUGAGAGGUCGCAGUGAAAUGGCUCUAGUGACUGGUUAACAAAACCACAGGUCUCUGCAAAGCCGCAAGGCGAUGUAUAGGGGCUGACACCUGCCCAGUGCCGGAAGGUUAAAGGGAGAGGUUAGACGCAAGUCGAAGCUUUGAACUGAAGCCCCGGUGAACGGCGGCCGUAACUAUAACGGUCCUAAGGUAGCGAAAUUCCUUGUCGGGUAAGUUCCGACCCGCACGAACGGUGUAACAACUAGAGCACUGUCUCAACGAGGGACCCGGCGAAAUUGAAAUGGCUGUGAAGAUGCGGCCUACCCGCAGCAGGACAAUAAGACCCCGUGGAGCUUUACUGCAUCCUGGCAUUGAGUUUGGGCAAGGUUUGUGUAGGAUAGGUGGGAGGCUGUGAAACUGGAGCGCUAGCUUCGGUGGAGCCGUCGGUGAAAUACCACCCUAACUUUGUUUAGACCCUAACCUCAUUCCGUAAUCCGGAUGAGGGACCGUGCCAGGUGGGCAGUUUGACUGGGGCGGUCGCCUCCUAAAAGGUAACGGAGGCGCCCAAAGGUUCCCUCAGGCAGAAUGGAAACCUGCCAAAGAGUGUAAAGGCAUAAGGGAGCUUGACUGCAAGACCAACGCGUCGAGCAGAGACGAAAGUCGGGCUUAGUGAUCCCACGGUACUGAGUGGAAGGGCCGUGGCUUACCGGAUAAAAGCUACCCCGGGGAUAACAGGCUGGUGAAGUCCAAGAGUUCAUAUCGACGACUUCGCUCGGCACCUCGAUGUCGGCUCAUCGCAUCCUGGGGCUGUAUCAGGUCCCAAGGGUCGGGCUGUUCGCCCGUUAAAGCGGUACGCGAGCUGGGUUCAGACCGUCGUGAGACAGGUCGGUCUCUAUCCGCUGUGGGCGUAAGGGAUUUGAGUGGAGCUGCCCCUAGUACGAGAGGACCGGGGUGGACUGACCGAUGGUGUUCCAGUUGUCGUGCCAACGGCAUUGCUGGGUAGCUAAGUCAGGCAGAGAUAACCGCUGAAUGCAUCUAAGUGGGAAACUUGCCACAAGAUAAGAUCCCUGUAAUCCCGUAAGGGAGUAAGAUCACAGGUAGACUACCUGUUUGAUAGGCAGAGUGUGUAAGCGCAGUAAUGCGUUGAGCUAAUCUGUACUAAUGAUCGAGGGCUUCUUCAU